GGUGCGCGGGGAGGCAGGCGGCGCCCGGCGCGCGUCUCUGCCGCCCCCGGAGCCCGCGCGCGCGCGGGGAGGGAGAGAGGGGCGAGCGCGCGUCGGGCGGGCGGCGGCCGCAACUUGGCGGGCCAGAUGCCCCAGGGCGCGGCGGCGCUGCCAGCCUGCCGCUGCCGCCCCUGCGGGCCCGGGGCGCGUCUCCUUGGGCGGCGCUGCCCGCGGCGCGCGGCGUGUGCAGCGAGCGAGUGGAGGUAUGUGUGGCGGGCGCGGCUGGAGCUGCCGCCGCCGCCGCCGCCGCCGCCGCCGCGCAGGCAGGUCCUAAUGCCUGUCACUUCCCAGGACACUGGCAGCGGCAGCCCAGAGCCCCCGAGCCCUGGGCAGGUUUGCCUGUCCUUCCCCGCGAUCUGAUUGGAUAAAGUGGGGGCUCGACGGUGGCCGGCGUGGGACAGUCUGGCUGUGGCAGGGGUCUCGGAAACCAUGGGUUAUUGCAGUGGCAGGUGCACGCUUAUCUUUCUCUGUGGCAUGCAACUGGUUUGUGUGCUGGAGAGGCAAAUAUUUGAUUUCCUUGGAUAUCAGUGGGCCCCUAUCCUGGCAAAUUUUGUACAUAUUAUCAUCGUCAUCCUUGGUUUGUUUGGAACUAUUCAGUAUAGACCUCGUUACAUAACAGGAUAUGCUGUCUGGCUAGUCCUCUGGGUGACGUGGAAUGUGUUUGUUAUCUGCUUCUAUUUGGAGGCUGGGGAUCUCUCAAAGGAAACAGACCUUAUCCUGACGUUUAAUAUUUCAAUGCACCGAUCUUGGUGGAUGGAGAACGGACCAGGAUGUAUGGUGACGUCUGUGACACCCGCCCCAGACUGGGCUCCAGAAGAUCAUCGGUACAUCACUGUCUCAGGGUGUUUCCUGGAGUACCAGUACAUAGAAGUGGCCCACAGUUCCCUCCAGAUUGUCCUCGCACUGGCGGGCUUCAUCUACGCCUGUUAUGUUGUGAAAUGUAUAACUGAAGAAGAGGACAGCUUUGAUUUCAUAGGCGGCUUUGACUCUUAUGGAUAUCAAGGACCUCAGAAGACAUCUCACUUACAACUACAACCAAUGUACAUGCAAAUUCCCUUGGAUAACAACUGAUAGCAAAAAUUCUAUAUCUCAGCAUCAAGUGAUAUGCUGAAUUGCAAGAGAAGAUCAAAAUAGAAAGUCAAAAUAACACGGAUGACUUCUGUCUGUCAACCCAUGGACUUCUCAAAUGAAUUGGGCAGUGGCCUCCUGCUUUUUUAUGAAGAGUGAGAAGCAAAUGAAUUUAAAUACACAUACAUAUUAUCAGACCAAACAGGAAAUUUCUACAUAGACACACACACACACACACACACACACACACACACAUGCACACAUGCCACUGUCACUAUCAGGCACACAUCAAUUCCACUGGACCGCCUCUUUCUGACUGAAACUGAUAAACACGCAGGGCACGCCCACCCUGGAUUUCCUUAAUGCAGGCUCCCUUCGUCCAGGCCUUUUGAAGGUGGGAAAGGAGACACAUGGGUGUCCUCUGCAGGCCGUUACUUACUCCUCCGCAGCCCAGCCAGUUGGCUCUGGGAGGUGCCAAGUUAACCCAGGCACACCAGUUUGGAACCCUGUUUUCUGCAGUCCAGACCAUACAUCUCGAUAGCACCACAGCUGCUUAGGCAACGUAACUGCAAAAACUGACAGACAGAACAUGCUGUGAUGACCUUGUACCAAAUGCAAAAUGGCAGGUCGUUUGCCCUAAAGGCUAUAUACCGUACAUACUUGCCUUAACCCACCUACGUUGUGUGCCCGAGACUCCCAGUGCAGACGCCCUCCAGUCACUUCCUUUAGGCUAACACACUGCUAUUAAUUACAAACAAUUUUGACUCUGUCUCUUGUUGAGGAACAAGACUGAACCGCUCAGCAGCUCCUGUGUGUCUGUGUAAGAAAAUGAUGUUUUACCUCUGAGCCUUGUGAUGGCCGCAGAGAUAGGAACCAACAGCAACCAUAACUGUCACCAUCACGUCUCUGAAACGUGGUCUUCUGACGUAGUAGGGAUGGAAUGAAGUGAAAUGUAUUAAUCUCCUAAACUCAUUACUCUACUGAAAGCAAAAAUGGCUUAACUGGUUGGUUUUAUUUCUUGCACUCUACGUGCUUUUCUAGGUACCUACAAACGGCAUUUCCUAACACAGGAAACAGCUGUGGAUUUCUAUGACAGAGGCCAACUGACUAUGUAUUAGCUAUGUUUACUCUUUUAUAUCUAAUUCAAAUCUAAGACCCAAUGUAGGUGAACUCUUUUUUUUUUCUAACUUCAGCGUACAAGAUUAUUUUUGGGGUGGGGGGGAGCAAUAGUUACUUAGUGAAAACUUUGAGAUCUCUUUGUGGUAUUUGGGGGGAUCUGUUGUGUGUUAGAGUGUAUUCCAAUCCUCCUGUAUUAUUGUGGCAGAAAAAAAAAAAAAAAAACAAAAACAAAAAACCUGUGCUGUUGAAGUAGUUGGCAAUGAGAUGCCUUUGGGGACAAUAGUAGGUCAGUGUGUUUAUGGGGUAUUUUGAACUCCUAGGAAAUUUAGUUCUUAUUUUCAAGCAUUGUUUGGUUUUCAUUAGUGAAAAACAUAAUUAGCUCAAGCUUAUCAGUAACACAGAUGAGUCAUGUUUUUUCUUGGAUCCACUUGAGAUGCUAAAAUCAAGUUUCCUUUAACACAUCAUCUUGACGCACGGAGAAAUUCAGACUGAGAAGUUAGACACUGGCAUGGACCAACUCUUUUUCUUUUCGUCCUUCCAGUUUUGUUUAUUGGGUUAACCCUUUUGGCAUCUUAACCCAUUCAGGUCUCCAUAAGACAGGGCAGUUGCUGUCUUGGCAUAGACAUUUGUAAUAAAUCACCAUAUCCCUAUUUAAAACCUAUGAAGGAACCGAAAAUGACCACUGGAGUAUAAACCACAUGCACAAAAAGAUUGCAGCACUCACACUUGAGUUUUCCCAGUGGCUUGUACCUACAUGUAUAAAAUGAACAGUUGCAAACAUGUCAGUGAAACCUCAUCUGGUGUUUUUUAUAGUGAUAUGCAUGUUUAAUGUUUGAGGGGAACUACUCACCAAUUGUACUGUCCUUUUAUUCCUAAAAUAUAAAUAUUACACAUGCCGGAAACUAUUCUAAUGUGACUAUUAAAAUGAGGUUUCAUUGCAUUGCUACUGUGAUGGGGUUUCACCUUGUAGUACAUGUGUAGGGAGGGAGUAAAACGAGCCGCCAUGUUCCUUUUUUUAAGUUGCAGCCGACUCUCCACCAAG